GGCAAAUAGCUCAGUGGAUAAGAGCACAGGUCUCCGAAGCCUGGAGUCGAGAGUUCGA
rnacentral:tRNA from 1 species